rnacentral:tRNA from 1 species
GGAGAGAUGGCCGAGUGGUUGAAGGCGGUAGAUUCGAAAUCUACUUUACCGAGAGGUAACGGGGGUUCGAAUCCCCCUCUCUCCUCCA